CCCUUAGAUGUCCUGGGCCGCACGCGCGCUACACUGACAUGUUCAACAAGUUUCUCCUAGUUCGACAGGACUGGGAAAUCUUUGAACGCAUGUCGUGAUAGGGAUAGAUCAUUGCAAUUAUUGAUCUUGAACGAGGAAUUCCUAGUAAACGCGAGUCAUCAGCUCGCAUUGAUUACGUCCCUGCCCUUUGUACACACCGCCCGUCGCACCUACCGAUUGAAUGUUUCGGUGAAGAUUCCGGAUAGGACUGAUUUGAUUUAUUUCAUUUCUGACCUAAAAGCUAUCUAAACCUCAACAUUUAGAGGAAGGUGGAGUCGUAACA
rnacentral:rRNA from 1 species